rnacentral:lncRNA from 1 species
AAGGUACCCAAUGAUGAAGCAGUGCAUCUUGAAUCCCAUCGAGAGGGGGAAAUAAAAGCACAAAGUAUUACCCAAAAUGACCUGGUUACAACACAAUAGCAAAGAGGAACGUUUGCAAAGAGCAAUGUCGCAUUGUCCUGCAGGUCCAAAGCAAAGUUUAUCUUUUGAAACUAUAAAGACACCAGAGUCUUAGAGCUCAUUUAGAGAAGAAAUUGCUUCCAUCUUUAAAGAAAUAUCAUUGGAAAUAAAAGCCUGCAUUUGAAAAUUGAAG